rnacentral:sRNA from 1 species
CGUAUCAAUCUGCUGCGGACAGAUGUAGUGAAUGUGGGUAUCAAUUCCUCCUGCAGUUACAAUAUAUCCUUUUCCACCGUGUACUUCUGUAGAUGCACCAAUGAUCAUAUUUUGAGAUACACCGUCCAUCGUAUCAGGAUUUCCCGCUUUUCCGAUGCCUACGAUUUUUCCGUCUUUAAUUCCGAUAUCUGCCUUUACGAUUCCCCAGUGAUCAAUAAUCGUCGCUCCGGUGAUACAAAGGUCCAGUACGCCUUCAGCUCUUUUUGCACUUACGUUCUGUCCCAUUCCAUCACG